AAGGCCUUAGCUUAAUUAAAGCGUCUGGGUUGCAUUCAGAAUAUGUGGGAUAGAGUCCUGCAGGUCUUA
rnacentral:tRNA from 5 species